AGUAGAUAGCUUAACCUUCGGGAGGGCGUUUACCACGGUGUGAUUCAUGACUGGGGUGAAGUCGUAACAAGGUAACCCUAGGGGAACCUGGGGUUGGAUCACCUCCUUA
rnacentral:rRNA from 1 species